UUAGAUCUGGCAGGGAGAUACCAUGAUCUGGAAGGUGGUUUUCCCAAGGCAAGGCUCAUCCAUUGCACUCCAGAUUUGCUGACCCCUGUGAUUUACCCAAAUAUGGAAAAUUUGACUGCAUAAUUUAUGGUAGCGGAGGACUACGUUCACACUCUCCCCUG